AGUGAACGCUGGCGGUGGGCCUAACACAUGCAAGUCGAACGGCAGCACAGUAAGAGCUUGCUCUUACGGGUGGCGAGUAGCGGACGGGUGAGGAAUACAUCGGAAUCUCCUUUUUCGUGGGGGAUAACGUAGGGAAACUUACGCUAAUACCGCAUACGACCUACGGGUGAAAGCAGGGGAUCUUCGGACCUUGCGCGAUUGAAUGAGCCGAUGUCGGAUUAGCUAGUUGGCGGGGUAAAGGCCCACCAAGGCGACGAUCCGUAGCUGGUCUGAGAGGAUGAGCAGCCACACUGGAACUGAGACACGGUCCAGACUCCUACGGGAGGCAGCAGUGGGGAAUAGUGGACAAUGGGCGCAAGCCUGAUCCAGCCAUACCGCGUGGGUGAAGAAGGCCUUCGGGUUGUAAAGCCCUUUUGUUGGGAAAGAAAAGCAGCAGGUUAAUACCCCGCUGUUCUGACGGUACCCAAAGAAUAAGCACCGGCUAACUUCGUG
rnacentral:rRNA from 1 species